UGGAUUGACAAAUGAUUACCGCUGAUGUUUCGGCGACGGUGGAUUUGUCAAAGCGAUUUGUGUGUGUCUCCUGCUUGUCUUUGUCUAAAAUAAGUGCUUCCAGUUGACAUUUCAUUAUCACAUCGAUAAACGUCAAGAAAAUGAUGCUGAAAGCAGAAUCUGAACCCUAAAUAGAAGAAAGAAACAAGCUGUUGAACUAUACGAACUUCAAUAAAAAGAGGACUUCAAUGCCUGAAUCUCCGUCAUGAAUCCUGCUCCCUUCUAAUCCCCCCCUGGAUAUGUUCGCGACGUUGCAGUUUUCAAGCGUGUAUUCGAAGCAGAAUUCCAUCUGCUAAUGAC
rnacentral:lncRNA from 1 species